rnacentral:lncRNA from 1 species
GUGGGGGCAAAACUUGUAAAUUGUCUCUGCUGCUGGGGAAAAGGUUCGUGAAGCUGCACCCCGAGUAAAGCAGCUGCUCACCUGCCAAGCAAGCUAUCAGCACAGCAUUUGCAUUGGAACUGAGAGAAAAAUCCCCAAGGAGCGUGUCUGGGCAGGUGAUUCCAUUGUCCUUAUUACUCAAGCAGCUAUUUCCACAGCCAUAGGCUUGCGACAGCACCUGGCAGCAGCUUCAUGGAGCGAUCCGAGAGUUACAAAACGCCUUCACAACAGCGGACAGAACCGCUCCAUUCAGCCCUCCUCAGCUGAGCUCCCUUUGGCUCCCACCCCCAAGCCACCCCCCUGGAACAGCCCUCCCCAUAUCACAAGGCCGCUCAGAUCACGCCAACAGAACCCAAACCCAAGGAAAUCACAAUAGGAUUCGAAAGCACUCAGGAAAGAGGCCAACCAGUGUUUUUUUCAUGGACAUUAAUAACAGCAGAACCAGGCCAUAAACCCAAUGCCAUAAUCCCCCAACCUUUACUCAGGUGUAGACGUAUGGACUGUGGCUUCACAUAUGUUUGCACAGCGCAUAACAGGCUGAAGGCAGCAUGGAGUAAUAAUUAUGUAAGUAACAGUUGGCUUCAUUGAUUCAGCUCCUUCGAAUAAAGGUUGCAGAAGCAGACGGGAGAUUACAUAUCAUAUCU